GGUGGCGAUUAUACUGGAGUUGUUCCACCUCUUCCCAUCUCGAACAGAGACGUGAAAUACUCCGAGGCCGAUGAUAGUACAAUUUUGUGCGAAAGUAGGUAAUCGCCACCC
rnacentral:rRNA from 1 species